rnacentral:lncRNA from 1 species
AUUAAAUUAUGGGUGGAAAGUUACCACAAGAUAUUCUAUGAACAUAGUACAAUGUCUUCCUGGAGGGGUAAAAUUUUCCAUUACAAGAUUUUAAGAGAGGCCAUUUAUUGUACUGUUCAAUUUGCGUUCAUUUUCAAAUUUGCCGCGCGAGUAUCUAUGUAGCGUCUCGUGGUCAUUGGUCAUCACAUUUCAUUUUCAUAACAUAACCGAUAACCUAAAAAUUUAGUAAAAAAGUAAAAAUUUUGAUUGGAAAAAAAUGCAUCGAUAAGGGGGUGUGGGAAAUGGAAAUUAGUGGCUUUUUUGCUGUACUGUCUGCUAGUUUUUGCUCUGGGCACUGGCUAGAUCUCUUGUUUAAACAAUUUUAAUCAGCUGAAAGUGGCCUACAAAAAAAAACCAAGAAGGAAAUGUAUAGCCUUGUGUCUAUGAAAGGCAAAAGAGAGAUAUAAAAAGUGUAUUGGCUAGUUGGAAGAAAGUUCACAUUGUCCAUGCAUAAUAAGUUAUUACAUUAUCAACAAAUAUCAAGAAGAUAGCAGGGUCACGAGCAUCAACUUCAUGAGUUCAAGAAUAUCGAGGAAAUCCAGCUCCUCGAUACUACUGGGCAAACUAGAAGAUUGAAGAGGACAAAUCCUUUUGAACUAGUUUGAGUGAUAGGUGAUAGUGAAAAACGGAGCAUAGUGCUUGUGUGCUGUGCCUGUGUAUGUUAGAAUAGUGCACGAUCUUGUUAGAUUAGAUAAGAGACGCUAUGGGGUAAGCUCUUCAUUUUAAGAAACAGUAGUAAUUUAGGUUAAAUUAAAAUUGCUCAUUGGUCAGUUAUGACCAGAUUGUUUUUUUAUGUUUGGCAAAAAGGACUUAAGUCAGAAUUGCACAUUGAUAAUGUUUUGAUGAUUUCUGGACCAGAAAAAAACUGUUGUAGAUGUAAACUGUAUGUACAGUAGAAUCUACUACAGUACUGUAGAAAUCAUCAAAACAUUAUCGAUGUGCAAUUCUGACUUAAGCCCUUUUUCCCAAACAUCAGAGAAUUGUAAUGUACAAUAAUUCUCCUAUCUGCUUUUUCAUGAAUUUUGUAGGAGACGAAAAACCAUUUUUAGGAUCAUCUGCUUUCACAUGUUUUGUAGUAAAUAGAUAGUUGAAUUUACUACAAAACAUGUCAAAAAAUAUAUGAAAACAUGAGGUGACUAUAAAAAAAGUUUUUAGUCUCUCUUACAAAACUCAUGAAAAAACAAAUCGGAGGUAUGUCACAUCAGUGACUAAGAAUGUCUAAAAAAUAUACUUUGAUGUCCCAAGAACCAAAUAUAACCUACAGUCCAUCUAAUUUACUUACUGUUGCACGUCAUUAUCUACGCCAGAGAUCUAAGUUGACAUAGUUGCCAAAGUAUAAAAAGAUCCUGAAUCCAUUUUAAAUCAAAUAUGUCACAUAAUUAUUGUAAACGUGGAUUAUACAACAAAACAAAUUAAUAUUCAAUGUAAAUAAGUAAAAACUUAAGAAAUAGAGAACAAGAAUUAAGUUAUAAUCUUUUAAGAUUUGCAGUGCAAGAGUUUUUGCACUGCAUUGUUAAUAAUUAAAAAACGGCUCCGAACUCUUGGCAAAAAGCCGGUAGGUUUCUUUGUAUAAGUAUGUCUACAAUAACAACUAAAAAAGUUGUCAGAUACCUCGAUUAUUCCAAGUCGUUAUAAAAUUAGGUGAAAUUUAUAUUUUUAUAGUAGAGGAUCUUUUUAUAGUAAAGUAAAUAAUAAAAACAGUAAAUAUAAUAAAUAAAACAGAUACUUAUAGUAAAGAAUAUAAACAAAUAUGAAGUGUCAUCACCGUAACUGUCAAAUAAAUGUUACCAAUUUAUUCUAAAAUGUCACCUUCGUUCGAUUACAGUUACAGUGUGAUCCGAACAAAUCUGCUUCAUAAAAACGCUUUAUAAUCCAUUUAUACAAAUUAAAUGAAACAUAUUAUUGUGUAUUUCUUUAGGUUAACAUUAAUAGAAAUCUUCACAUAUUAUUCGGCAAAGUACUCGGCAAAGUGAUUCUAAAAAAGAACACACCUACCGCCUAAAUAUUUCGUGUUGGUAUCAUGCAACCUCACAGGCUACGACGCGGAUGACGCGCAACAGUUAGUAAAUUAGACGAAGUAUGUAGAUAUAUACAGGGUGUAACAAAAAUACAGGUCAUAAAUUUAAUCACAUAUUCUGGGACCAAAAAUAGUUUGAUUGGACCUAACUUACCUUAGUACAAAUGUGCACACAGGAAAAGUUACAGCCCUUUGAAGUUAUAUAUAUAUAUAUAUAAUAGCACCAAGGGUCUUAGAGGCCCAUGGCUUGAAAAGUUUGUUUUUUUUCUUCAUUUUCACGUUUCUUUAUGUACUGAGAUCUUCUCUGGCUUGAUAUGUGAUUUUUCUCCAUUCCUUCCUGUUAUUCAUUUUUCUUUUCUGACCCUGUAGCACCAUUCUUUCCAAAUCUUUUUCGACCUCUUGCUUCCAUCUAUUUUUCGGCCUUCCUCUUCUCUUUCUUGAAGCUGUAGUGUAGUUUAGUACCAUUUUUGGAGUCCUCGUGUUUGGCAUCCUUUCAAUGUGACCUCGCCAUCUAAGUCUCUGUGCCUUUAUCAUUCAUUUGAAGUUACAAGAUGAAGUGAUUUUUUCCAAUAUAUCGAAAACUAUUAGAGAUUUUUUAUUGAAAAUGGACAUGUGGCAUUAUUAUGGCAGCA